rnacentral:lncRNA from 1 species
AAUUUAUUUCAACAUUCAUUCCUAAAAACAGUUUAUUUGCUUUUCCGCAGGAAAAUUUGCAUUCUCCCUGUUGUGGAAAUAGGUGGGGAUUUCGGGGCAGGCUGAAGAGGGAGCUAUUUUUUUCAGAGAUCUGCGCAUUCCCCCUGUGAGGGAGGCUGACAAGGACCAUGGAACUCAACCAUUCAUGCAAAGCUCUUUCAAUUUCAUCAUCUCAUCCCACCAUCACAACGCUGGGAGAUCAGUUAGGUGCCACUCAGCCACCCGCGCUGGGAUUUGACUCAACCUAUUCCAGUGGUACCACCAACACCGGACAGCACUCACAGAGAAGCUAUUGCAGGUCUGAUGAAGCAGAGAUGAGACUCACAGAAGACAGCUGCUGCUUUGCCCUGUGACCGAGGUCCUCCGCAAUCAUUGCUGCUCUGCUUACAGAAUUAUUAUCAUGGUGAAAGGAAAGAGUGCUUUCCAAAGUGUGAAGAGUUAUGUAGUGAUUGUUUAUCCCUUCCAUGUGGGCUGGGAGUAGUCAGGGAGGGUCAAUUUGCUGUCCACAUUCAGCAUAAAAAUAGCUCCAAUGUGCUAAAAAUAUUUGUCAUCCACACAGAGAAAUCUGCAAGUCCUCACCACGGAGCCUUGAAAAGGAGGUCACAGAAAUAUCUGGAGCAAAGGACUUCCUCUCACUUGUCUCACCUAAUAGCAAUCUUAGAAUAAGGGUUUCUCACUGCUAGGCCAAGAUCUGGGUUUUUGCAUUUUUGCACCAGAUUUUGUUCUGUGUUCUGCUUACUCUGCUUAAAUGCAUGUGCAAAUGAGGCACUCAACAUCACUCCCCAUGAACCCAAGAUUCUUCUGGGCACGUUGGCACAUCAUCAUACCCAGGGGGACAGUUCGGACUCCUCUUGUCAGGUGUUGCUUAUUCGUCAUCAAAUUUGCCAGAGCCUCCCAGGUGCCAUUCCCACCCAAUGCUACCGUUCUGCACAGAGGUCCUGUUUGGUGCUGUGCCACUCUUGACCUUUUUCUCUCCUAGUAGUGGUUUAGUUUGUGAUGGGUUAAACAAUUCCUUUUUAAUAAUUGUAAAUGACUUCUAUUUAUAUUUGCUUUUUUGAAAGACAUUUUAGUUACUGAGGCAAGCCUUUUAUAAGUCCUCAGCACUGUGUCUUGAGUUUACAAAGCACACUGGUAAGAGACAACUUAGGUCUAGAGCAAUGCGCUUCUUUACCUUUUCUCUUUUUUUUCCUUUCAAUGUGUACAAAUUCAGUUGUUGCCAAUUCCCUAAAAGUAAUUUCCCCAGAACUUCUCUUAUUUGUGACAAAACUCCUAAUUUCUUCUUUCAGCUCUGUUUUGGAUUUUUUUUUCACUUUUUACUUUUACAUUUUUAUUUAUUUUCCCAUUGAUUGUACAUAUUAAAAGAAACCAAAGGGCUAGUUCCUGCUCCCAUCUAUUCUGACUGAGGCUGUAUUACUCUGCUACUAAAAGAAAAUGAAACUAUAUUCCUAAAGAGUAUGCUGGCUCUGAGAGCUUGGGCACCUUCUCACACUGUCUUAGUUCACCCACUUGGAACUGUAACUCUGGGGCAAAAUUGAGUUUGACUCUAAUGCUUACUCACUAAAUAGACUUCUUAACUUCAUCAUUAUUAUUUUUCUUUUUUGAGACAGUCUUGCCCUGUC